ACCCUUUAUCAUUUUCUCGCUUCUAGUUUGAUGAAGAGUUAGCCCACCCUUUGAUUUCCUAGAAAUUGCAGGAAAAAUGGAAGAAAAUUGAAAAUUUUGAGUUGGGAAACAUGAGGGUUUUUUUUUCCCUCUGUUUUCUUGGGAACCAAACGGAGGGGUAUAAUAUCAAUAUAUUGAAGAAUGUCUUAGCUGCUGAGUACUCUGCUGAUAUUUAAGGCUUUUCAUGACAAAAUUUGGGAAUUUUUGCAAAUUUUGUUUGCGUGUGAUAUAUGAUAAAAAUAAAUUGCAGAUUUUUUUGGCUUUUCAUCAGAACCCACUUGGAAGAUUGGUAGUGGUUAUGAUGAGAAUGCAAAUUUUUGGAAUUUAACUGGCAACCCACUGGAUGUUGUAGUUGAUUACUGUAUUUUCUUGUAUCUGAAAAUGCAUGUUGAGGUUGCUUUCUUCAUUUAAAUUGGAAAUUUCCUAAAAAAAAAAAAAAACGCUUCAUGAAUCUGUGGUCAAGGACAUAUUUGAUCGAUUGUGUGGAGUUUUGGUUCAAUGGGCCAUGUCAGACAUUAAAAAUAUACCUUUUGGCUCUCUUCCCAGACUAUGGUUCAAACUGAUCCUUCCACUACUUUUAUUUUAUUUCAUUUUUUUUUUCAAAAAAAGUUGUUUGAAACUGCACCUUGAAAAUGUGAUUUUAGUACAAAUUUAGAUACUGUAUUUUGAAACUAUGGCUUUGGUAUGCUUUUAGAAACCUUAUUUUGAAACUACAGCAUCUAAUUUAUAUAGAAGUUGUAUUUUCAAGAUGCAGUUUCAAACAAAUUUAAGGAAAAAACAAAUAAGCUUAUAUUUUGAUCAAUACUUUCAAAACAUACUUAAAACUCAUAUUUUGUUUGUAACAUGAGUCCAUUUGACCCCAGAUCCAGAUAAGCUUUUCUUACUAACAACUUGUACUAAAACCUAGACCAACUUUGAUGAAUUUUUUUUAUCAAAUUGGCCCUCAAACCAAACAAAAUAUAAGUUUUGGGCACGUUUUGAAACUAUUAUUCAAAUUAGUUUUCUUUUUAAAUAUAUUUGAAACAACAUUUUGAAAAUACUACUUCUAUAUAAAUUAGAGACUGCAGUUUCAAAACAUGGUUUCCAAAUCUUUAUUAAAGUUGUAGUUUCAAGAUGCGGUUUUUAAAUUUGUACUAAAGCCAUAGUUUCAAGAUGGGAGUUUCAAACAAUUUUUUUCAAAUAAAAUAAAAUGAGGCCAAGGGGGUUUUGAACAGUAGUAUGAGAGGAAGGCUGAGAUGUAUAUUUUAAUGGUCGAAAUGGCCAAUUUGAACCAAAACUCAACUUUGAUGGGAAGUGUUUAUUUUGUGCUUGCUGCCACUUUCAACUGUAGACCAAUGUUACAGAAAUUAAUCUUUAUGAUUUAUAUUGUCAA